rnacentral:rRNA from 1 species
AGUGAACGCUGGCGGUAGGCCUAACACAUGCAAGUCGAACGGCAGCACAGUAAUAGCUUGCUCUUACGGGUGGCGAGUGGCGGACGGGUGAGGAAUACAUCGGUAUCUACUUUUUCGUGGGGGAUAACGUAGGGACACUUACGCUAAUACCGCAUACGACCUACGGGUGAAAGCAGGGGAUCUUCGGCCCUUGCGCGAUUGAAUGAGCCGAUGUCGGAUUAGCUAGUUGGCGGGGUAAAGGCCCACCAAGGCGACGAUCCGUAGCUGGUCUGAGAGGAUGAUCAGCCACACUGGAACUGAGACACGGUCCAGACUCCUACGGGAAGCAGCAGUGGGGAAUAUUGGACAAUGGGCGAAAGCCUGAUCCAGCCAUACCGCGUGGGUGAAGAAGGCCUUCGGGUUGUAAAGCACUUUUGUUGGGAAAGAAAAGCAGCAGGUUAAUACCCCGCUGUUCUGACGGUACCAAAAGAAUAAGCACCGGCUAACUUCGUG